rnacentral:rRNA from 1 species
GACGAACGCUGGCGGCAUGCCUAACACAUGCAAGUCGAGCGAGCUGAUCCCUUUGGGGUGAAGCUAGCGGCGGACGGGUGAGUACACGUGGGCGAACCUGCCUCAUAGAGGGGAAGUAGCCUCCCGAAAGGGAGAUUAAUACCGCAUAAGAUUGUAGCUUCGCAUGAAGUAGUAAUUAAAGGAGCAAUCCGCUAUGAGAUGGGCCCGCGGCGCAUUAGCUAGUUGGUGAGGUAACGGCUCACCAAGGCGACGAUGCGUAGCCGACCUGAGAGGGUGAUCGGCCGACAUUGGGACUGAGACACGGGCCCAGACUUCCUACGGGAGGCAGCAGUUGGGGAAUAUUGCACAAUGGGGGGAAACCCUGAUGCAGCAAUUGCCGCGUAGAGUGAUGACGGGCCUUC